ACAUUUUGAACUGCCGACGCUUUCCUGCCCAUGCUCAGCCUGCUUCCCCGGGGUUUUCCCCUCCCUUCUCUCUGAUGCUGCGGGGAGGAGGGAGAACCCCCUGGCUGCUGGCUGGCUGGCUGGCUGGUUGGCACACACCGAGUGGCAGAAAUGCUCAACCCUGCCCGUCUUUAAAAGGCAGCUUUCGGGCGGGUGUGGAAGGCAGGAGAGUUGAGCAGGUGAGGCAAUUCGGGGCUGCUGGUUACCUUCAAGGGGGUCGUGUCCCUUUAAGAGAUGCGAGACUUUCACCGAACCGGGGAUAUAUUAAAACAGACAAUCGGCACCGGGUAUUGCCAGGCUGGGCUUUAGCCUAACGGUACAUUUAUCUGCUUUUACUCCGGCGUUCAGUACCUUGGAGAGCGAGCGAUUGAGCGAGCCCGGUCUGUCAUUCAACGGCCACCGCUCUUCCAGCAGAAGUGUCCGGGAAGCCACGAAUUAUCUCCAGAUCACUCCAAAGGUCUCCUCAAGCCAGAAGGGCGACGCUCGGGAGAGUGAUUUAAAGGUGAAAUGACGGGGGUUUUCCGUCCCACCAACCUUGGCUACUUUUAUGAAAGCCUGUGAGAGACCCGGAGCAAAGAAGAGCCAGCUUGGAUAUCUCUCUAACAGUUGGACGGAGGAGUCCUGCCAGCCAGACCGUGGUGGGGUGGGAGAGAGAGAGACGCCGACCAGCCCAUCCGAGACGCCUGGGGUUGCCUUUGGUCUUCAGGAGAAGACAUCCCGAGGAAAAAAAACCAGACCAUUUUUGCUUGCCCCGGAGGGCUGAAGUGGAUUUCUAUCGCCCCCCACUGUGGUCCAUCCAAAUGGAUUUGAAAAAGUGUUAAAAUCUUUCCAAUGUAUGCUUCCAGAGCGCUCUGCUUUGGCUUGCAGUACUCAGAGAAUGGCCAUGGUCUCUGCAAUGUCCUGGGUCCUGUAUUUGUGGAUAAGUGCCUGUGCUGUACUGCUCUGUCAAGGGUCCCUUCAGCAAACAUUUCAGCAGCAUCAGCAUCUGCCCAGACCAGAAGGAGGAACAUGUGAAGUUAUAGCAGCACACAGAUGUUGUAAUAAGAAUCGAAUUGAGGAGAGAUCACAGACAGUAAAGUGUUCCUGUCUACCGGGGAAAGUGGCUGGGACAACACGGAAUAGACCAUCAUGUGUUGACGCCUCAAUAGUCAUCGGGAAAUGGUGGUGUGAGAUGGAGCCCUGCCUAGAGGGUGAGGAAUGCAAGACAUUACCUGACAAUUCAGGAUGGAUGUGUGCAACUGGCAAUAAAGUCAAGACCACCAGAAUGUUCCAUGCUUAGUCAGGGACAGAAAUCAGGACUAUGAGAACAUGUUGGGGAGCUUUUAUUCCAAACAUCAUGGAUUUGGGUGCAACAUGAUUUUGGAUUCAUCCGAGGACCUAACAAAAAUUCUUCUGACAGCAGCCUCCGAAGGAACUCCCUGACAGAUAGAAGGCAGAAAUCUUUGAACCUUAAACCAUCUCCAGCUUCUACAAGCCAAAUGGUUUUUGUUUUCUUUUUGUUUUUAAUUUGCACUUUAACUCUGCACCAGAAGAAACUGCAAUGGCUUUGCUUGUGUAGAGCCAAAACACACUAGACAAAUAAUGAACCAGAGCGGACAGCAAAAAAAAAAGAAGAAGAAGAAGAAGAAGGGGGAAGAGAGAGAGAGAAAGAGAGGAGACAUUGGCAAGCAGUUCAACAGAAGCAAGUUUUGCGAUUCUGAAAGAUGAACAAUGGUCCCGUACAGGUGGAUGGACCAUGUUUAUUUGUAUCAUUUACAAAUAUAUAAAUAUAUAAAAUAUUUUGAAAUAAACCCUGACUCGCUGAGAAACUGAACAGAACCACAUUUUGCUGCAACGGCUUAAUUUUGCUUUAUUUAAUUGUAAAGAGAUAAGGGCUUUGUAGAUCAAGACGACAGUGAAAAAAGAACAUGAAUAAGGACGAAGACUGACCAAAUAAUUGGAAUGCUACUUCCUUUUCGUUACAAUGAUGAUUGUGUCAGCCAGAUGUUGAAGGGAAUUCCAUUUUUGUUUUUCAUAUUCCUGUGUUCCGCAAUCUUUUUUUUUUAUUUUUUUCCCUUUCUCUCUCUCUUCGUGCAACAUUUGCAUGCUGGCUUUGCUUACAUUAAACAUACUUUAUACUUAAUUGAUACGUGAUGCCGGGAACAUUUUUCGGGGCCAAGAACUGUCCCAUAGAGAAGAGGAAAGAGACUCUUAGUAAUUAAACAGACCCAACCUGCGCUCUGAAAUUCACUGGACAACUUUUCGUAAACUGCAGGUUCAUUUAUUUAAAAAGAAAAAUCCCUGUACAGACAAUUGUCUACAGACUUUGUAUAGUUGAUAUAGACAAGCCUAGUAAAAAAAAAAAAGAAAGAAAAAGCGAUUGCUAACUUUUAUGGCUUCUGUUGUUUGCUCAUGAGAAUCAUUUUUAUAAUGUUUAGGAAAAACACAGAUUUUGCACUGUCAUGGGUUUCGCCUUACUGUUUCAUUUUAUUUAUUUUUAUUUUAUUAAACAAAUUUAUAUAGCUACCCCUCUA